UCUUCCAGAACUCUUCUCCCUCACUUUUCUCUACUAAAAACUCUUCCCCCAUCCGCUUCAAUCUUCGUCGAACCGCCAAUAACCGGCAAAUCCCCGCAUCACGAUCCAAUCUUCAUCGAACGCACUGAUUCUUGCUUAGGAUACGAAUCGAAUCACCACAAGAAAAUCUGCAAAAAAAAUUGCAAAUAUAAUCGCCGAAGCACCAUACCAAAACAAAUCGAUAGUGGAGAAAAAGGAAGAAGACGG
rnacentral:lncRNA from 1 species